rnacentral:rRNA from 1 species
AACGAACGCUGGCGGUGUGGAUAAGACAUGCAAGUCAAACGAGAGUGUAUAUGUUAAAGUAUGCACUCCAGUGGCAAACGGGUGAUUAACACGUAAGUAUUUACCGUAAAGUUUAGAAUAACUAACUGAAAAGCUAGAUAAUACUAAAUAAGUGUAUACACUAAAGCUAUUAAAGCGCUUUACGAUAAGCUUGCGGCCUAUCAGCUAGUUGGCGGGGUAAAAGCCCACCAAGGCUAUGACGGGUAGCCGAUCUGAGAGGAUGAUCGGCCACACUGAAACUGAGACACGGUUCAGACACCUACGGGUGGCAGCAGUCGAGAAUUUUUCACAAUGGGCGAAAGCCUGAUGGAGCGACACCGCGUGAGGGAUGAAGGGCUUAGGCUCGUAAACCUCUGUCAUUUGUGAACAAAGUGAGUUAACGCUCAAUUGAUAGUAGCAAAAGAGGAAGAGACGGCUAACUCUGUGCCAGCAGCCGCGGUAAUACAGAGGUCUCAAGCGUUGUUCGGAUUUACUGGGCGUAAAGGGUGCGCAGGCGGAAUUUGCGGUUAACUGUUUAAUCUUAAGGCUCAACCUUAUAGGUGCAGUUAAUACCCUUGUUCUAGAAAUAUGUAUGUGAAACUGGAAUUUUCGGUGUAGCAUUGAAAUGCGUAGAUAUCGAAAAGAACAUCAGUAGCGAAAGCGAGUUUCAAGACAUAAUUUGACGCUAAAGCACGAUGGUUAAGGGAGCAAACGGGAUUAGAUACCCCGGUAGUCUUAGCUGUAAACUGUGCAUACUUGCUGUAAUCAUUUAUUGGUUGUGGCGAAGCUAACGCGUUAAGUAUGCCGCCUGGGGAGUACGGCCGCAAGGCUAAAACUCAAAGAAAUUGACGGGGGCCUGCACAAGCGGUGGAGUAUGUGGCUUAAUUCGAUGCAACGCGAAGAACCUUACCUAGUCUUGACAUGCAUGUGAAUAAAUUGGAAACAGUUUAGCAUAGCAAUAUGCACGUGCACAGGUGCUGCAUGGCUGUCGUCAGCUCGUGUCGUGAGAUGUUGGGUUAAGUCCCGCAACGAGCGCAACCCUUAUGCUUUGUUGCAAGCUAUUUAUAGAUGCACUCUAAGCAAACUGCCUUGUUAUAACGAGGAGGAAGGUGGGGAUGACGUCAAGUCAGUAUGGCCCUUACGACUAGGGCUGCACACGUACUACAAUGCAAAGUUCAAAAAGAAGCACUUUAUGCAAAUAAUUGCAAAUCUUAACUCUUUGCUCAGUUCAGAUUGUUGUCUGCAAUUCGACAACAUGAAGUUGGAAUCGCUAGUAAUGGUGCAUCAGCUACGGCACCGUGAAUACGUUCCCAGGCCUUGUACACACCGCCCGUCACAUCAUGAAAGCAUAUUAAUCCCGAAGCAAUUUAGAUAUACUAGUUUCUAGGGCAUAGUAUGUGAUUAGGAUG